rnacentral:rRNA from 1 species
CGUGUAGGCGGCUUGGUAAGUCGGGUGUGAAAUCCCUCAGCUCAACUGAGGAAGUGCGCCCGAAACUGCUUUGCUUGAGUGCCGGAGAGGAUGGCGGAAUUCCCCAAGUAGAGGUGAAAUUCGUAGAUAUGGGGAGGAACACCGGUGGCGAAGGCGGCCAUCUGGACGGUAACUGACGCUGAGACGCGAAAGCGUGGGUAGCAAACA